CCUACGGGGGGCAGCAGUCGAGAAUCAUUCACAAUGGGGGAAACCCUGAUGGUGCGACGCCGCGUGGGGGAAUGAAGGUCUUCGGAUUGUAAACCCCUGUCAUGUGGGAGCAAAUUAAAAAGAUAGUACCACAAGAGGAAGAGACGGCUAACUCUGUGCCAGCAGCCGCGGUAAUACAGAGGUCUAAAGCGUUGUUCGGAAUCACUGGGCGUAAAGCGUGCGUAGGCUGUUUCGUAAGUCGUGUGUGAAAGGCGCGGGCUCAACCCGCGGACGGCACAUGAUACUGCGAGACUAGAGUAAUGGAGGGGGAACCGGAAUUCUCGGUGUAGCAGUGAAAUGCGGAGAUAGCGAGAGGAACACUCGUGGCGAAGGCGGGUUCCUGGACAUUAACUGACGCUGAGGCACGAAGGCCAGGGGAGCGAAAGGGAUUAGAUACCCUUGUAGUC
rnacentral:rRNA from 1 species